CUUCACGGAAACCCUGACUCAGGGCCAAAUGGCUGAUUAUAUCGUAUGAUGUAACAAGGAGUUAGAAAGCUUAGUGGAGAAUUAGAAUAAUGCGUUUUGUGUGUGCCUGUGAGAAGUGGAGGGGGGGCACAGUGUUUAUUAGAUUAUUUUUUUUUUGCAGCUAUGUUAUUUGCUUGCAAAACUCUUGCAGGCCUUGUUGGAACAGAUGAGGAUUUGGCGUGUGGCAAGGUUUUAGCUGCCGAACUGAACCAAAGGUCGGGAUCUUUUCAGCUCCACCAAGGGCUGGAACAUCGGUGGCCUCGCUGGGGUGUGGAGGGAACGAGCACCGCUGCUGGUAGGAAGGAAAGGAUGAGCAGUGUAACACCUCGGGCGGGGAAGGAAGGAUCUGGCCUGGCCUCUGUCGUCACACGGAGCUAAACGCUUGGGGUGGACGUUUGGGGUUUCGGUGCCGAGGUGGCUGGUGGCAAGGUGCACGGCAGAUUUCUUUUUGCUUGCUCUCCUGGUCCUGCCCGUGAGGAAAGCCAUUAACUGCAAGCGUGAACUCUGAGAUGAGUAAAAAUCAAAGAUGACCCAAGUGCCUGGAGGCAUAAAAACAGCUACUGAAUUGUUCAGCUUGUUUAAUGAAAUGGAGCAGCGCGAAGACACAGUUCACAUACAGAUUUAUGUAUGUGAAUACAACAGCACCGGCGCUCAAACAUUCCACGGAGCUGGCUGCAAAUCCCCAAAUGGGGAAGCCUGGCUGCCGUCAGCUGUUCAGAAGAGAUUUGGGAUAAAAAGCCCCAUCAGAAAACCUGCCCUUGCUGUAGUGCAGCACUGGCAGAAUGGAAAGGAGCCCUGGGCACGCUGCUAAGCCCACGGGUCUGGUGCACAUCGGCAAGGUGCCUGGCCCGCCAGUUCCUGGGGUCUGCCUGCGGUGCUGCUGGCCUGAUUGAGCCUCCCGGUGCUAUCUCGGGCUCGCCGCCUUCUUUCUGCAUCAGAGAGGGGUGCGUGAGCCUCCUGGCGCCGUCCCAGGCUGCCUGACCUUUGCUGUGCUCGGCACUAAUCGUCGUCUUGCCCUGAGUCACGACUUCCUGUAACAUCGGAGGGAAAAUCCCUGUCCCCUGCUGUACCUGCAGGACGGACAGGGCAACGAGCCAGGUCUGCUGCAGUUUGCUUCUGCCUUCAAAAUCCAUGUAUCCAUACAUACACCAGCCUUGGGUGACCUCCCCUUGCUGUCCCAUCAUGGCUCUUCCCAACUCCAGUGGCUCACAGGACAAGAUGAAAUGCCAGCACUGAACUAUAUUUGAAGCUCGUGGCUGUAACACCAGGUUUGAAUGCUGGUGCAGGUCGCUAGGUCCUUAAUUUCCUCCUUAAUGGAUUUUCUAAUGCAUUUGAUGAAUAAAUAGGUGCUCAAUAGCAAGCUGAAAUACCAUUUGCGAUCUUGGACUUGAAACGGCCUUAAUGUUGCCAUUAUUUGUGUUUAUAGCAGUCCUGCGGAGCUCGGGGAGGUGGAGUACGUGCAAAUGUUAAAAUUGUCAAGGCCCAGAGGCGUGCAGCAGCACCAGCCCAGGCUGCUGUCAGAGAAACAACUUGAGUGUGUGCCUGGCUUCAAGAGCAUGAAUGAUCCCAUUGACUUCAGAUUGGCUACGGAUGCGACCGCAGCUGAAUGUACGUUGUUUGCGGGGAAAGAUGAUCCAGAAGGAGCUGGCCGCACAGGAGAGCAGUGGGGGCUGGAAUUGGUGUCGGUCUGCAGGAGAGGGAAGGCAGAAAGGCUGCCCUGGUGGCAAGAGCUGCCAGCGCUUCAUGGGCUCCUGCUUUGUGCAGAUGCUGCGAUCCCCAGCAGCGUCCUGCCUCGAGCUGCCGGGCCCCGGCUGGUCGAGCAAUUUGAGCCUCUCGGUUUACAAGUACCAUGUUCGUGCGGGCAGAGCAAUGCGAUUACAUGUUCGCAUCAAUUUGUGUGAAGUUGGCAGCAUCCUCGGCGAAUGUUUUUGUCCCUCCAGCUUCUAAAUGGCAUCGCUGUUAGCAGCAAUGCAUCAUCGUUAGCAGCGAGACUUGAGAGGAUGCGCGAGCAAAGUGUGAUAUUGCUUCAACCUCUGGAAGUGCGGUGUCAUAACGAAUGAGGCACGGGUUUGUCGCUUGUCCACGUUAUUUGGUAGAGAGCAGUGCAGUGGAGCAGGCUUUUUGUUACACUUCUGUAGUGAGCUGUCCCCUCCGGGGCUGGGACAGCCGCAAGCUCUGCAGUGCUUCCCGCGAGUCUCUGGCUUCGUGCUGCAGCACCAGGUACUGAGAGGUCGGUGCCAGCUCAGAGACACCAAACAUCCAGCCCGAAGCUGCGGUCUCUCAGCCCUCCCUUGCCCAGACGUCACUGAUUUCUGGGUCUCGUCCUGCGGCUGCUUUGAGGGAAGCUGUGCUGGCUGCGGCAUCCCCUCCACUGCUGUGCUUAUGUAUUAAUAAGGGACGGAGCUGGCGGCAGGGCAGGGCAGCAGCAGAACGCAUUUGUCUUGCUGUCCAGCGAGCCACGUAACAAAUAGCAAUGCCAAGUGUAAUCCUGCCUCGGUUAAAACUGUUGCUUUGGUUUGUCAUCAUUCAUUGUUCGGAAUACAGCUGCUUAAUGACAGGAUGUGGGAAAUGAAGUUUAUGUCCUCGUAGGCUUUAAAAUAAAAAUUCCUGAACAAUGGAGGGGAAGGACGCGCUUGCACAGAGCAGCCUGCCUGCGCGCUGAGCCGCAGCCCCGUCGGAGCUCCACAGACAGAGCUUUUGCUCUGCGCUUUAAAAAUAACCUGCUGUGUAAACCGGGGCAGCAUCCGUGCCUCGGCUCUGCUUACGUUACACGGCCGCUGCAGCUGCCUCUGCCCCGCGCCUCGCAGAGCGGGCCCCGUGUUUGAUAGGAAGAAAUGGAAAAUAAAAGACAACUGCCACGUACCUGCACGGGGACGCUGCUUCUUUGCAAGCGCCCCUUGUUCAAUUCGGCUAGCAAACGAUCAGAAGGGGAAGGGAAGGAAUUGGCCAUAAAGACUGGGAGCAAGUGGGACACGGGCAGAGGAGACUUCGUUAAGCAGGCCGUGAUGCAGGGCCCCCGUUGGCGUGCUUGCGGCUCAUCCCUGGCGGCGCAGGACGGCAGGCGGGCGCGUGAUCUUUGCUCCUGGUGGGAACGCUUUCAUCCGGGUACAUGGCCCAUUAGCUCACGACUUGCAGGAGCAUCGAGGCGGUGCGACCUUGUGUUACAGGGCUGCUCGCAGAGCACUUGUUUUACCACAACCCACCUGCUGUCACAGCACCCAUCCCUCUGAGCAGCACAACUCGAGGAAACAACCCUGGUUCGCCCUGAAACUACAGCUCCACAGGACUACUGACCCCGCCUGGGCUCAGCCUGUGGUGGGAAUGUGUUGCUUUCCAGAGUCGGGUCUGUAUCACCUUCUUUCGGUGUCGUUCACUGAUUUUUCUCCUCCACAAUUGUGUGAAACUUGUGUUUUUUAUGAUCUUGAGGCUUGUUUUUUUUUUGGUGGUGGGUGGCUUUAUAAGGCUGCUGGUCCCUUUUCAGGGCAGAAAAGGGAAAUUGCUUGCAUGCAGAAUGGCCAGGACCAGUGGUUUGUGCCCACCGCAGCUCUGUAGGACACAGAAGUUGCCUCUUCCACGCCUCAUAGCACCGUGGUUUCACAGCAGCACUGAACAGGCUCUAAGUGGCAUAGAUCAUGUGAAAUUUCUGAAAAAGCUGCUUCACGGACCUCACAGUUCCUCCACUGUCUGUGAACGAGAGAACGUUCCCCUGGUCGGGCCCUUCCUCUGCUCUUGCCAUUUACUCCAGGCAGCAGAAGUCCUUGGGAUUGAUGCAGCCAACCCUUAGGCUCAGAUCAUUCACUGAACAACCCGUUGUGCUCCAUAACCUGUUCAGCUGCCCUAUGUCACCCAUUCUUGGAAACCUUCGAAAUUGAGAACGUCCCUCCUGCAAGGCUCUGGAAAUCACCCCCAGAAACUGUGUGCCCAGCUGUAUGUUUGGGCAAUGGAAAUGUGAAAUCAUAAGCUCGAUGUGGGAAGUAAUGCUUUUGUGUGAAAUUGUGAGGUGUUCACUGAGCUGGGGCCUUAGUAAAGUUUAAAAAAAAAAGGAACAAAAUUGAAAGGGUAAAAUUAUUAUUUAUAUAUAUUAUUUGUAUACAUUAUUUGUAGAGUGUACAGGACAUAAGAUUUGGGGCAUAAUACUCAGGUAAUCACCCAAUCCAGCACACAGUAACAGUAAAAGCGAAAGCCUGGCACACUGGAGUCGUGACUGAACAUUUGGUGAACAGUAGACCACGGAAACCUUCAGCCAGAUGACUUCAGCUCAGCAUGUUGUUGCUGCUCGGCAGAUGGAUGGGAAGACAGUGUUUGUAAUUUCUGUGGGCCAAACAACGCACACUUGAGGGGUUUUCCCUCCUCCGUUUCUCACACAAACCUCCUGAGCAUCACACCUCCCGUUGCUAUUUCGUGGACUUUUUGCAGCCCCUCCCAUAUCCUUCUUCAGGGUAGGGUGUCCUACACUCCCUGACAUGAGGUCCCUUAUCUUCCCUUUUGCCUUAGGCUAUGUGCAUACUCCCAUUCCCCCUUCCUCCUCCCACUGUUACUGCUUAUCUUUUAACAAGGAAGUAAGUCAUUGUGAGUAUCAGAAGGUUAAACUCCUGAAGCACGGACAGAUCUGAGAUUACCCCAUUGGAAGGUGUUAAUUAGUCCCUUGCCAUUUCUUCCCCCCCAUUUUAAAUUUCUCAACCUUCAGCAAACUUGUCAGGUUUGUCUACAAAUGACAACAGCAUUCUCUGAAAUUUUGAAAUUGGAUAUGGUCUUCAAAAAUAAUUGCAUCUUUUCAACCCAUCUUUUACUUUACCAUCACUGAGAAGAGAAAGUUGCCCACUUGGGCUAUCAGGAAAUAUUGAACUUUGAGGGGUUUGCAGUCACAAAUACACUCCCUGGCUUUCCAGAGAGACUUCAAUUUCCUUGUAUAAUUCAGUCAAUUUCAAGCAAACAGACUGAAGGCUCAGGGCUUUCU